UGUCCAGGGAUGGGAAUCGAACCCACAGUGUUCCGCUUACCGGGCAGAUGCCAUGUCCACUAGGCUACCCUGGC